UUUCUCCAGUUCAUAGGACAAUAUUAAAGUAAGUACAUUUUUUAACAGUUGUUUAGUUUGGGGUUUUCUUCAUCAACUUUCCUGAACUGAUGUUUUGUCUGAUUGCUUCUAUAUUUUCAGUGAUUACAGUAUGCUAGAACAGUAGUUCAAAAGGAUUUUUGUUGAGUCCACAGAUGUGAUUUUGACAGAAGAUAUAUUUGACUACUGAUUUUUUUGGAAGACAAUCUUUGGUUUAGUGAUCACACAUACCAGUCACAGUCCAUUUAACCUUAAAUGUGUAUCAACCAUGCAUCUAAGGAGGAGUGUGGAUGUGAAGUAUUGUCAUUGCUUUUAGUGGCUCAUCUUCAGUUGUGGUAAUUGUCUAAUAUUCCAGAGGAAAUUAAGGGAAAAAUUUCAACUCUACUUCUGAUUUCCCCCUUUAAAAAAAAAAAAAAAAACCAAAACAUUUCUUGAUCCUUUCAAGUGGCUUUUUGAAUCCUUUAAAGAAAUAAGUGGUCUUUUGUGAUAGAUGCUCUUUUGUUUUGUGUAAACUUAAUAAUUUGAUUUCUAUCCCAUUCUGUCUCAUUUUACUCCAGUGCAACUUGGCACAAUUCAGGAUGCUUCUUUUCUUGUUAUACAGCUUUCCUUGUUAAUGAUACCAGUGAAAGCUUUAACAGCAGAGUAUAACCAAUGGCAAAAAAAGAAGUGCUGAAAGUAACCACUUACAUGUAAGGUAUACUUGUAUAAACUUCUGCAAAGUCCCAUUCAUCUAGGCAUCUUAAACUGUGUAUAUAUUGAAUGUCUGCUAUUUUGUAUUAUUAUGCUGUAACUAUUUAAAUAUUUCCCACAAUAGCAUGUAUGUUUCAUUUCUGUAUCCUUUUAGCACUUUCCAUUCUAAAUUCACUUAGAACUAAAGUGAAUUAUACUAUAACUUAAUAUUAUGAUUCUGGACAAAUAAAUGCAUAAUUGGUAUCACCAUUCAUCAGUCAGAAAAGAACUGUUAGCACAUCUCCUAAAAUGUUUUGCCCUAAAUAAAAGUUCAUUAUGCUGUUACCCUCCUUCAGUUUUUUUCCUUUCUGUGCUUGUUUCUUCUCCUUCUAUUUGUACUUCCUUUUUAAGACAGAGCUACUUUGUCAAAGAAUGUUGUCUUCAUUUCGUCUUUUAAGAAGCUGAUAUAUUUUCUAUCUUUGCAAGUACUGCUAAUAAGCUAACAAUAAUUUACUCAGACAUAUUUUAACCAUACUUCCUUUGAAUUUUUGUAUAUCAUUAUUAAUACUUCACAGAAGUGCUUAUAUUAUGAUGUACUAGCUGAAACUUUGAAAUAAACCUUUUAGCAGUAAGCCCAUUACACUCUAAUAAAAAUCUAGGUUGGAUUUAACAAGGGUCAAGAUUUCAGGUAAGAAAAAGUAGUAAAAGAUGCUUCAGUUUAUUUUAACAGCACAGGAAUCCAGAUUGCUUAUUGAUCCCAAGAAGCACAAACCACUGAGACAAGUGGUAGCUUUUAUAGUUGUUAGGAAUUAUCAGUACAAAUUCCUUAGUUCUUAAAAGUGCCUUCUGUACAUAAGCAUCAGUGCUAACUGAUUUCACUCUUGUUGCAAAGCUGAUGUGGCUAGACACUGAAAACAGAACCAUUCGGAAUCUAAAUUUACAGAAAGUAAAGAAUUAUCUUGAAAUGGUGCUUUCAGCAGUUAAGUCAAAGAAUAAAAAAAAAAAAAAAAGAAGACUACCUGAAAAGGCAAUACAAUAAUUUGGACGUAUGAACGCUAGCAACCACCACCUGUACUGAAGCCCUGCUUCUUGGGAAGUGGCUGAACAUUGCCUGCUGAUGGGAAAGCAUUUCAAGAACUGAAAAAUAAAAUGUUGAAACUAACGACAUCUAAGGAAGAGCUCUUGCAUGCUUUGGGUGAAUUCCUAGAACAUUUUCCCCUUCCACAGAAUGGUGGAAGUGCUAAAAAGAAAAAGUUCUUCCGCAUAUCAAUGACUUCCAUUUUCCUGCUAUUACUAAAUAUGAUUACCCCUACAUUUUGUUCCAUAAUUAAGAAAUUGAAGCUUCAGGGAUUUAAUUAAGUCUUCUUUCAAUCACGUUUCCUGAUUUCAGCCUGAUAUGUCAUCUACCUAUUUGCUGGUUCUUAUUCAUCUUACAAUUGUUCUGGGACAUGUCUCUUCAAACACUAAUAGCUUUCCAGGUGCAUUUUAAGUAGUUGUCCAUUUUUCCCAUAUAUAUCAUUAUUGUUUCCUUAAAAAUAUAUUUCCUAUAAUGAGAUACAUCAGUCCAUUUGCUCCAUAUGUGUGAUGUCAUUGAAAAAUUCAGGCUGGAAGUGACCUCUGGAGAUCUUCCAAUCCAACCCCAUCAUCAAGGUAGUGCCAAUUUCAAAGUUGGAUCAAGUUGCUCAUGUUCAUAUCUAGUUGAGUUUUAAAUAUAAGAAACAGUUAAUUCCUCUGUGUGUCUUGGAAUUCUGUGGAAGAUUUUACAUAAAAUCUUCUUCCCCAGAGCAAAACUCAACUGCUUGAAUUUUCUCAGCCUAUGUUAUACUGACUGUCAGAACUUCUGAUUAGUUAACCUGCCUUUGUUUCUUUUCUGUGCAAUUUUCCUUAUUAAAAUCUAAAGAAAAAAAUUAUCACCCAAGGUGUUUGAGAUUAAUCUACCCUUCCCCUGAUCACAGAAGCUUACCUUCUACCUUUUUUUUUUUUUUUUACUUAAAAGUAAAAUUUAUUUUGAUAAAUAAAAUUAAAACUAAUAGAAGAUAAGACCUUGCUAGGAAAUUUAUGCUCUUCAUGAACUCUUAAACACAGUUUACUUUCUGAUCAGUCUUUUUCUUUCUUUCCACUCCUUUUAAAUUCAUAGUUUCUUCUAUAUGUUUUGACUCAGUUGGAUCUCACUGGUUCAACUGCAGAUCCUCCAUAAUCUGCAUCUAUGUGAUUAACUGCGAGGGCAGGAGAGACAGCCAUUUUCACCUAUAUUAUUUUCUUUAAUGUGUCAAAAAUACAUAUUGUAGGCAUUAACAAUGAAAUUUCCUGCUACAUUGAUGUGGAGGAACCUAUUAUUCACAUCUAUUAUCAGCUUUGUUAAACACUCUGGAAGCAUAGAACUCUUAACUCUGUAUGUCAGUAAUUUUGCUUUGCUUCAUGGAAACUUCUUGUUCUAUCAAUAGCUUUGUGUGACCACAGAUGUGCAGGGCUGAAGCCUUUAGGGCAUGAUUCCACAGCAGUGUGAAUGGCUCCAAACCUAGCUGUUCUUGUUCCACCCUCCUUUCACCAGACACCUGCAUCUGGGAGUGGGAGGGAAAACUGAAUCACAGCAGCUCAGGUUAGCUUCUGUUGCCACGGCCCAGCACCUUUAGUAUAGGUAGUGACUGAGGUAAGAAUUAUCUUGCAUUUUAAAUCACAGAAUCAUUUAGGCUGGAAAAGACCCUAAAGAUUGAGUUCAACCAUAAACCUAACACUAGCAAGUCCACCGCUAAACCAUGUCGGUAAGUGCCACAUCUACGCAUCUUUUAGAUACGUCCAUGGAUGGUGACUCAACCACUUCCCUGGGCAACCUGUUCCAAUGCUUCACCACCCUUUCAGUAAAGAAACUUCUCCUAAUAUCCAAUCCAAACCUCCCCUGGCACAACUUAAGGCCAUUUCCUCUCAUCCUAUCACUUGUUACUUGGGAGAAGAGACUGACACACACCUCACUACAACCUCCUUUCAGGUAGUUGUAGAGAAUGAUAAAGUCUCCCCUCAGCCUCCUUUUCUCCAGACUAAACAACCUCAGUUCCCUCAGCCACUCCUCAUAAGACUUGUUCUCUAGACCCUUCACCAGCUUCAUUGAUCUUCUUUGGACACGCUCCAACACCUCAAUGUCUGUCUUGUAGUAAGGGACCCAAAACUCGACACAGUAUUCAAGGUGCAGCCUCACCAAUGCCGAGUAAAGGGGGCAAUCACUUCCUUUGUCCUGCUGGCCACACUAUUUCUGAUACAAGCCAGGAUGCUGUUGGCCGCCUUGGCCACCUGGGCACACUGCCAAUUCCUAUUCAGCCAGCUGUCAACCAGCACUCCCAGGUCCUUUUCUGCCAGGCAACUUUCCAGCCACUCUUCCCCAAGCCUGUAGCGUUGCAUGGGGUUCUUGUGACCCACUGCAGGACCCGGCACUGAGCCUUGUUGAUCCUUAUACAGUUGGCCUUGGCUCAUCAAUCCAGCCUGUCCAGAUCCCUCUGCAGAGCCUUCCUACCCUCAAGCAGAUCAACACACCCACUCAACUUGGUGUCAUCUUCAAACUUACUGAGGGGUACAUUUAAUCCCCUCAUCCAGAUCAUCAAUGAAGAUAUUAAACAAAAUUGGCCCCAAUACUGAGAUUAAAAAGUAUCUCAGAUAAAAAGAUAAGAAAUAUGAAAAGUCAUUUGUUGAGCAAUAUUCUUUAUGCAAAUCUAUUUCAUGAAAGAAGUUGCCUUUCAGGUUAAAUAAAUGCUGAGCAGCCUGCUUAAAAGUGACUUUAUAAGCAUUAAUUAGAGAUGCUGUUAUAUUGAUGACACUUAAAAUAUGUAAGUAAUACAAUUUUAUAAAACAGCAUACACAAUGUGUAUUCUAGACCUAGCAAAUUAUGUUUAUUAGCCCUAUGAGAGUGCAAACAUCUUUACACUAAUAUCCUUAGGAUUUUAUUCUUUGUAUAUCACUUUUAGUAAUUACUGAAGUCAUAAACUAAUUUCAACUUGGAAACAUGAAUAUUCAGCCUACUACCUAAGUUAAAAUAAUAUUUUGGGGCAGAGAAAUGCAACAGCUGAGGCUACAAAGUAUCUUCAUGAUUGCUUCAAGGAAGCUUUUGCAGCUCCUUAGUGUAGAUUCUAUUUCCUCAGCCUAAUAUCAAGAUAAAGGCACAAAGAUAUGCAUUAUUGAGCCCUAGCUCCAUUAUGGUUUGCAAGAUUUCCAUGGAGCAGGCAGUAUAUCCCCCUUUUUGAAGGUGAGAAUAUCAAGAACUGUGAUGGAAAAAGGAGCCAGAAUUUGCCUUUCAUGAAUUCUUCUUUAUUGCCUGUAUCCCUCUUCUGUUCUAGAAGCGGAGUUUGUGUAAGGUUCUGCACAUCUGUUAAUGUCUUAGGACUUAAGUCAGCCCACAUUCAACAGCAGUGUUGAGUAAGCAGCCACCAGCCACCGAUGCUGUAUUAUCUCCUUUAUUUUGUUGAAUUUGAAGUGGAUGGGGAAAACUGAUAAAAUUGAAAAAUAAAAGAAGCAGGUUCACCAUGCAACAGCACAAGCAGUUUUGUUGGCAUUAUUGCCUAAGGAAUCUAUAUCAAUUUAUAGGCAAAUGGCUUGAUUUGCUUGCUGCAAAUGAAAACAAAUAAUUUUCUAAUGGAUUGCUGUACAAAUGAUAUUUUAUCAAGGAAUAAUUUUUCCCCUAGCUGAUUCUGUUUCUUAAACUUGGCCAUUUUUUUAAAUUAAAGUCAAGGUAAGAGUAAACAUAUUCAUUGGAAAAUAAUGAAAAAAUAUUAAGUCACUAUGAACUGAAGUCUUGAGCUGUGUCAACUUUGCAGCUCAUUGUAAACAUUUUCUACAGUUCAAGAAAAACAUUAUUAUUUUUCCUAGCAGAUCAUAUUCACAGAAUGUUUUGCACUGUACUGAAUGUAUAAAUAUGAUGUACUUGGUUUUAUUUAAAUGUAAACCCAGGUAGAUAUACUAUAAUCACUUGAUAUUAAUCUUAACAUUUUUUUAAUUAUUAGUUACAUUUAAAGUUUAUGAUAUUGAACUGGUGGAUGAAUUAUUAAAAACCUACCUUGUAUUUGUGUCAUGGCUGAAUGUAAGUAAAAGUCUUCAUCUGUUGCGUACUAUGCAAUGAAAUAAUUGUGUGAUUAUUUUUCUUUGUCAAUUAAGACUUUUUUCCUAUUUAGUAUUGGUUUUCUGUUAAUAUGGCUGGGGGGUGGUUAUACUUGCAGAACUCUUAUGAAAAGCCAGCUGUACAACUGAUAACACUGCAUGAAAUUUUAGAGGUAAGAUGGCUUUGUUAUGUAAAAAUUUGAGGGAUUUUCUAAUAAUCAGAUCUGAUCACAAUAUUUUAAUAAGAUAAAUAACAAUAUAUGACAUUCAGUUAAGAUAGUUAAAUGAAAAAUAGAAUGUUUAAGAAUGUUAUGUCAGAUUUCUAUUUUAAUUCCUAUCAAAUUAGCCUCCCAAUUUCUUACAAGAGACAUGGCAAUAAUUUAGAUAAUUAAAUCUUCGGUUUGAGCUGGAGAAUGAUUAUCCUGUAUUUCUUAAUUUUAUAAUUAUUUUAAAGAAGUUUUAUGAACCUUAAUGGAUCAUAUUAGGGGAGACAAAUGCUGUGCUUAAUAAAAAACUGAAGUAUUCCAUUUCAUGUUAUAUUUUGUACUGUUUCAAUAAAGUAUUUCUGAAAUGUAAUACAAAAACAGUUAUCGAGGGACCAGUUAAUGUGUAGUCUCUUGUAUUAAUUGGAUUAUCUUCUCAUAUGAGGAAAUUAAUGAAUCUGAUACAUGUAUUUCUAAUCAAUUUUAUAAAUAUGCCAACAUUGCUCAGUGUGUAUUUUUAAUCAUGGUGUAAUUUAUGAUUUUUUAAUUGCAAAGCAUAAUUUUGAAGGAGCAUUAAAAAUCUUUUCACUAGCAUUGUACCUUCACUUUGAAGUGAAAUUUCCUGUUCCUCCUCCAUCCUCACUCUUUAGACAGUUCUAAGCAUCUGUGUGUAAGACCUCUUGGGGGGAAGGGGGGAAUUUUUUUUCUGAGGGAAAACUUGAUGAAUAACAGCUUUCUGGUAUUAGGACGCUAUGAUCCGGUCACUAUGACAUUGAUGUACUUUAAAGCCCAGACACUGAAUCUAUACUUACAACAUCAUCAACAUCAUUUUAUGUGCAUCAAGUAUCUCAGCAUGCCUAUUAAUGCCAAAUUAGGCAGAGCUUGAAAAUAGAUCAGAAUUUAAAAUAGCCCCAUUUCCUAUGGAAAUAAGAUUUUAAAGCUCUUUUAAUGAUUUAUAAUUGCUCUUCAAAUUUUUAAAAUAAUAUUAAUCUCCUCAAAAUGUGAACACAUCCAAGUAAUGUCUGAUUUCCAUUUGGAAGAACAUACUAUUUCCAGAAAUUCAGACUUAUUUUAAUUAUCUUGGCAUAAACUGUGAAUGUCCCUUAUCUUUGUUUUAUGGUUGUUUUUUUGUUGAGCAACUAGGUUCUAGCUUCAAGCGCCUGUUAAAUUUCAAAACUGUUUUCUUAGCGUACAGAUAAUAGUUUCUUAGAGAUAAAUGCAAAGUAAACUUUGUAUUAUAAUUAUAUUUAUGAUUUGCUGUUGUACACAUGUAAUUAAUUCCCAGAAUUACAACCAAUGCAUAUGUUCCUAAAUGUCUCCUCAAUCCCCAUGUGUUUACUUUUUAAAUAAUGAAAGUAUACAUUUUCAAUAAAGCCACUUUGAUAAGCUAGGUGUAUAUAUUUAUAUUAUUUUGGUAUAUCAGUACCUACUUCAUUAAAUUAUAAUAAGAUACCACAGCAAGCAGUAAAUUUUUUUCUUAUGCAAAUCUCAGAUUUUUUAUUAUACUUUUUAUUCCAGUAAUGAGCUGUCUUUAUUUUUAAAAAAUGUGGUAAUUCUUUUAUUUUUAAACAGUUUGAGGAUUAUUCCUGAUUGAGAAUUUGGUGAACUAGUUUAAGAUUUGAAAGAAUGUUUAUAAUACAAAUGUAUGUAAAGUUAUAGCCAUAAAGGCUAUUUUGGAAUAUUGGAUGUCAGAAAAGUAACUGUUCAUCUGAAAUAAUGUAUUUGGAGUAAAUAUACUUCUUUGCCCCAAUUGUGAAUAACAGCCAUAAACUGGAACAGUUCUUUGGAAUGUCCUGAAAAAAGGAUUAUUAUUUUUUGAAAAUAGCAAUGCCUGAAAAAAAAAAAAAGAGUUAAGUCUGGUAAUGAAGAUUUUGAUGAGGUAUUUUUUUUAAUAGUAAAGAGGCAGGCAGAAUAUUUUGCACUUACUGAAAUUGGGAAAGCUAGAACAUUUAGAAGCUCUGAGUAGAAAGAGGAAUAGAGAGAGCACCAUAAGAUGGGUAAUAUUAAAUAAUCUGUAGAUAUGUCCACAGUAUUCCCUGUGAGCAAUAUUAUGAGGGCAUAAACAUGAUCUCCAAGAACAGAAAAAGAAUGUCAAACCUGAUCUUUGUUUUUAAUUCCACUAAUACUAUAUUUGGAUAAGGAAGGAAGGAGAAGUAAGGGGGUAUCAAGAGGAGGUAAAUUGUUGUAAGGUGCUUGUCAUGCCCAAACAAGAAGUGUGAUAUUAAAAAUUUGGAUAAUUCAUUUGAGCAAAAAGAUUUGAUGUGCAAAAGUAGUGAAGUUGUAAGCUAAUUCUUUCCACUCUAAGAUGACACAAUUUUCCUAAAUUUCAUCUCACUAAUAAGCUUAAAAAAAAAUAUAUUCUACCAUGGACAUUUUUCUCUGAAAAAACCUGAAAGACUGAGGGAUAAAAGACUGUUGGCAGUAAGUCACUAUGGAUUUGAGAUAAGUAAUUUCCAAAAAUCUAGCUUUCUCUCUUUAAUGCUUCUAACCCCCAAGUGACAGAUAUUGAUUUAAAGAUUAAUUAUAUAAGGAUUUUACCAUCUUCAUGUUCAGAUUUUUUUUAGACACUACCUAAAAUACAUUAAGAAUUUUUGACAGAUGGUGAAAAACUUAGUCUGGAUAAAAGAAUAAUUCUGGUUCUAAUUUUUACAUCAGAAAAGAUAUAAUGAAGUUAACUGGAAGGUCUUAAUUUUACUUCUACCUUGAACAGAUCUUGUAUUUUUCCUGUAGCCUUGUAUUUCUUUCAUAGGUGUCCUGGUUUCAGCUGGGGUAGAGUUAAUUUUCUUCUUAGAAGCUGGUGCAGAGCUGUGUUUCGGAUUUGGUGUGAGAACAAUGCUGACAGCACACUGAUGUUUUUAGUUGUUGCUGGGUGAUGUUUAUACUAAGUCAAGGACUUCUCAGUUUCUUGGGCACUGCCAGUGAGAAGGCUGGAGGGGCACAAGAAAUUGGGAGGGGACACAGCCAGGACAGCUGACCUGAACUAGCCAAAGGGAUAUUCUUUACCAUGAUAGGUCAUGCUAAGUAUAUAAAAUGGGGGGGGGUUGGAUGGGGCCUGCUAAUCACUGCUCAGGGACUGGCUGGGCAUCAGUCAGUGGGUGGUGAGCAAUUGUAUUGUGCAUCACUUGUUUUCUUUCCUCCUUUCCCUUUGGUUUUCAUUUCUCUCCCCUUCUCCCUCCUUUUCAUUAUAACUGUUAUUGUUAUUAUCAGUUUUAUUUUGUUUCAAUUAUUAAAUUGUUCUUAUCUCAA